UACGAAGGGGGCUAGCGUUGUUCGGAAUUACUGGGCGUAAAGCGUGCGCAGGCGGCUUCCCAAGUCAGUGGUGAAAGCCCGGAGCUCAACUCCGGAACUGCCAUUGAAACUGUGAAGCUCGAGGACGAGAGAGGUGAGUGGAAUUCCCAGUGUAGAGGUGAAAGUCGUAGAUAUUGGGAAGAACACCGGUGGCGAAGGCGGCUCACUGGCUCGUUUCUGACGCUCAUGCACGACAGCGUGGGGAUCAAACAGG
rnacentral:rRNA from 1 species